GACGAACGCUGGCGGCGUGCUUAACACAUGCAAGUCGAACGGAAAGGCCCUGCUUUUGUGGGGUGCUCGAGUGGCGAACGGGUGAGUAACACGUGAGUAACCUGCCCUUGACUUUGGGAUAACUUCAGGAAACUGGGGCUAAUACCGGAUAGGAGCUCCUGCUGCAUGGUGGGGGUUGGAAAGUUUCGGCGGUUGGGGAUGGACUCGCGGCUUAUCAGCUUGUUGGUGGGGUAGUGGCUUACCAAGGCUUUGACGGGUAGCCGGCCUGAGAGGGUGACCAGCCACAAUGGGACUGAGAUACGGCCCAGACUCCUACGGGAGGCAGCAGUGGGGAAUAUUGCACAAUGGGCGGAAGCCUGAUGCAGCAACGCCGCGUGCGGGAUGACGGCCUUCGGGUUGUAAACCGCUUUCGCCUGUGACGAAGCGUGAGUGACGGUAAUGGGUAAAGAAGCACCGGCUAACUACGUG
rnacentral:rRNA from 1 species